CCUACGGGCGGCAGUGGGGAAUAUUGUACAAUGGGGGAAACCCUGAUGCAGCGACGUCGCGUGAGUGAUGAAGUAUUUCGGUAUGUAAAGCUCUAUUAGCAGUGAAGAAAAAGACGGUACCUGACUAAGAAGCCCCCGCUAACUACGUGCCAGCAGCCGCGGGAAUCCGUCGGGGGCAAGCGUUAUCCGGCUUUACUGGGUGUAAAGGGAGCGUAGACGGCGGUGCAAGCCAGAUGUGAAAGCCCGGGGCUCAACCCCGGGACUGCAUUUGGAACUGUGCUGCUAGAGUGUCGGAGAGGCGGGCGGAAUUCCUAGUGUAGCGGUGAAAUGCGUAGAUAUUAGGAGGAACACCAGUGGCGAAGGCGGCCUGCUGGACGAUGACUGACGUUGAGGCUCGAAAGCGUGGGGAGCAAACAGGAUUAGAUACCCCUGUAGUC
rnacentral:rRNA from 1 species